CAUAAAUCCUUUUCCAGAGCCAUGUCUGACUGUGGGAAAGAAAAAUAAAAAUUGUUUUACCACAUUUCCACAAUUCCUGAAAAAUGACAGGACAUUUUGCUGACUGUGUUGGUACCAUCAGUUGAAAUAGAUAGAUAGAUGGAUAGAUAGAUAGAAAAAAUGAGGGCAGAGGGGCAAGUAAAAUAAUUUUAGAUCUUAUUAUUUUUCCUUAAAUCGAGGUGAAAAUCAGUGUAAUUUCAGUACAACCCUCUCCAUAAUUACAAAGUUAAUUCUUUAGUUUACUGAGAUGCAGAUAGCUUGUCCCAGUCUCACUGACUGGCUUUGGUAUUUUUCAGACAAGACAAGCAAUGGAGAUCUUCUGGCUCAGAAACACUGACUUCCUUUUUUUUUUUUUUUUUUUUUUUUUUUUUCUCUCUGAUAUCACCAUGUAUUGAUUGGUAGAAUCCUAACAAUCACCUGAGUCAGUCAGGUCCUUGUUUUUGCAGCAACAGUGCCAGAGAUUUUAAUUUUCAAACUGCAACAGUCCUAGACUUUUUGCAUAGGAAACCUAUAUCAAACCCUUUGAUAUCUUUUGGGAAUGUCAGUCUCUAUGUUGUACUUACUUUGAUAAAACUAUUGUGUCCAUUCCUUUUGCAGAGUACAGUCAGUGAAAAUUGAGGAGCUUGCAUUUCUUCUUUUCCCCUUUGAAUGGAACACACCUUGAAGUCUAUCAAUUUGUAGGCUUACCUUGCUUUAAGUAAGAGUAGACUAGAAAUUUAAAACCAUAUGCUGGAUCAGAUUUCUUUCAAAUAAGGUCAAUGCAUGGGUUAGUGUGGUACUGAAUUAGUAUGUUACCCUGACUGUUAGAAUUAGAGUUUGCAUAAAACAAUAGGUCAAGCAAAUUAUGAAAAAUUGUCUCUUAUUUGAAAUAAUAUUAUGUUCAAUGGUGGAAAGAAAAUAUUUACAGAUCGUGAUUCUUCCAGAUGAAGAGAAAAAGAAAGAAAAAAGAAAAAGAAAAAAAAAAAAAAAAA